UCAAAAACAUCUCUCCCAGAGAAGGUUGGGAGUAGCCCCUGCCCAGUGAGGAUUAAAUGGCGGCGUUAAGCCUUAAAGUAGCAAAAUAAUUUGUCCUUUAAAUGGGGACCGGAAUGAAAGGGUUGACGUGGAUUAGCUGUCUCCAAAGAGAAACCAAAAAUUUUUCUCUUAGUGAAAAAGCUGAGAUGAGUUUAAAAGACGAGAAGACCCCGUCGAGCUUAGUUACCCUUCUAAGUAUUGGAGGGUGAGGUUUUAUUGGGGCAAUAGAGGAGUAGAAGCCUCCUUUUUUAAACAUAGAUCCUUCAUUGAGGAAAUAGGAAAAAGUUACCGCGGGGAUAACAGCGCAGGCAGCUAGAUAGCUCUUAUUGAAGGCUGAAUUUGCGACCUCGAUGUUGGAUUAGGGUUCCGGCUUGGCGAUAGCCGCUAAGCUAGGGGGACUGUUGUCCUGG
rnacentral:rRNA from 1 species